GAGGGUAUAGCUCAAGUGGUAGAGUGCAUGCUUAGCAUGCAAGAGGUCCUGGGUUCAAUCUCCAGUACCUACA
rnacentral:tRNA from 1 species